rnacentral:rRNA from 1 species
CGCUGUCACUCCUACGGGAGGCAGCAGUGGGGAAUAUUGCACAAUGGGGGAAACCCUGAUGCAGCCAUGCCGCGUGUGUGAAGAAGGCCUUCGGGUUGUAAAGCACUUUCAGUAGGGAGGAAGGUAGUGUAGUUAACACCUGCAUUAUUUGACGUUACCUACAGAAGAAGCACCGGCUAACUCCGUGCCAGCAGCCGCGGUAAUACGGAGGGUGCGAGCGUUAAUCGGAAUUACUGGGCGUAAAGCGCAUGCAGGCGGCCUGUUAAGUCAGAUGUGAAAGCCCGGGGCUUAACCUCGGAAUUGCAUUUGAAACUGGCAGGCUAGAGUCUUGUAGAGGGGGUAGAAUUUCAGGUGUAGCGGUGAAAUGCGUAGAGAUCUGAAGGAAUACCAGUGGCGAAGGCGGCCCCCUGGACAAAGACUGACGCUCAGAUGCGAAAGCGUGGGGAGCAAACAGGAUUAGAUACCCUGGUAG